AGUGAGGGAGAGUGAACUCAGGACUGUAGGAAAGUAAGUUACAGGAAGGGCUUGGCAGAUGGGUCAGGGAACCUGGUGAUUUGGACUUGGCAACUCGGCCUCAGUCAGACUCUUGCUGGGGCCAGUGCAGUCCCAUCUUGUGUUUAACCUACUUUGAGUUUGUUUCUGUCCCCUGCCCACAGGAGAGUCCUGACCAAUUCUCCAGGCUUAUAUAUACUUCUUCAUUUGAUUGCCUUCAAAAUGGUGGGGCUCAAGAAGACCAAAUCAUCUGCCCAAAGCCAUACAACUGGGAGAGAUGGCCCAUGCCCAGGAAGCUGCCCUGGACUCCCACAGACCCUGGACAAUGGGCAGGAAUGUUACUGUACAAGGAAUGGGGCUUCCUGACAUCCAAACUGUAGUGAUUGCUUUCCACGUGUGGGUCUAGCCACCCAGCGGAGCUACCAGACUCCGGGCUGGUACUGGGGAGUGUCGGCAAAGAGUCCUGUGAUGUGAUCCAUCUUCAGGUCUUCAGCCACGGAUACCAGCAUCUGCUCCAGUGGAGGUAGCAGGGGAGUAAAGUGGACUCUGUGAGGGUCAUUGGCUGUGUUUUUGUUUAACGCACUGGUUUUGUGUUGGUUGGCCUCCACCCAGGAGGUGGUGCUUUCAAGAGAACAUCAGCUGUGAUCCUAUAGGGAGAAUGCAAACUUGCCCUAGGGACACCUAGUUAGGUAUUCAGGUUUCUCAGGUGGUGGGCAGGGCCAUAGAGUCAUCAAGAGAUUAUGACCUUUGUCUUGGGCUACCAGGGUGGGUAGAGAAAGACCACGAGGUCAGGGUGGAGAUAGGCAUGUCUGGGCUCAAUCUCUCCUUGGGUAGGGCUUGCUGUGCUGCUGUGGGGGGUGGGGGUGUGGUUCCCAGUCUAAUGGUAUUGUAUUCCCAGGGGGAUUAUGGCUCCCUCUGCUGAGUCAUACAGGUCCCCAGGGACAUGCAGCCCAGAGUCCUAAAAGCCAGUCUCACUCUCCCUGUGUUCCCGCCACCCCCACCCCACCAAUUCACCAAGUUUACUUCCAGACAGCUGGUGACCAGGGCUGAGAACUUGCCCCAGAUCAUGAGCCUCCCUGUUGAGAAAGCAAGCCGACUCACAGUUUUUUGGUGUCUCAGGGAGCCUGCUGUGGUGAUCCAGUUCCUUCAAAAGGUCUGUGGAUUCUCUCAGCAUUCUUGGUAUGUUCCUGCAGUAGUUCUUGGCGCAAAAGUUCGUGAUGUGAUCUCCACACACUGCUCUGCCUCUCCAAGCGGGAGCUGCAAGCUAGUCCUGCCUCCUAUCUGCCAUCUUAAUCUAAAGUUCCAUGAUAGUAUUUUAAACCAAGUAUAUAAAUAAAUGAUAUAGAAAAAAGUAUACAACAAGACCAGGUUGCUUUUUCUCUCUCAAAAAACACGGUUGAUUUGGCAUUAGAAAAUUACUAAUAAAGUUCAGUACGUUAAUAGAAAAGAGAAGGGAAAUCACAUAAUCGUACUGACAGAUGUAGAAAAAUAUUUGAUAACAUUUAAUACCAGUUCAGAACUUAAGAAGAUUCAUAGCAAACUAAAAUAGAGGGAACUUCCUUAAUUUGAUAAAUACCUAUAAAAGAAAUCUACUGAAAACUCUAUAUUCAAUGGUAAAAUAUUGAACAGUUUCUUCCCAAGAUUGGGGUUGAAGAAGAAAUACUACUGAUCUAUUCACUAUUCAGCAUUGUAUUGGAGGGCCCAGCAUGUGCUAUAAAGGCA
rnacentral:lncRNA from 1 species